rnacentral:rRNA from 1 species
UACGUAGGGUGCAAGCGUUGUCCGGAAUUACUGGGCGUAAAGGGCGCGUAGGCGGCCUGCUAAGUCGAACGUGAAAUCCCCGGGCUUAACCCGGGAACUGCGUCCGAUACUGGCUGGCUUGAAUCCGGGAGAGGGAUGCGGAAUUCCAGGUGUAGCGGUGAAAUGCGUAGAUAUCUGGAGGAACACCGGUGGCGAAGGCGGCAUCCUGGACCGGUAUUGACGCUGAUGCGCGAAAGCCAGGGGAGCAAACGGG